GAAUUCGCCCUUAGAGUUUGAUCCUGGCUCAGGACGAACGCUGGCGGCGCGCCUAACACAUGCAAGUCGAACGGAGCUUAGAGAGCUUGCUUUUUAAGCUUAGUGGCGAACGGGUGAGUAACGCGUGAGUAACCUGCCCUAGAGUGGGGGACAACAGUUGGAAACGACUGCUAAUACCGCAUAAGCCCACGGUACCGCAUGGCACUGAGGGAAAAGGAUUUAUUCGCUUUAGGAUGGACUCGCGUCCAAUUAGCUAGUUGGUGAGGUAACGGCCCACCAAGGCGACGAUUGGUAGCCGGACUGAGAGGUUGAACGGCCACAUUGGGACUGAGACACGGCCCAGACUCCUACGGGAGGCGGCAGUGGGGGAUAUUGCACAAUGGGGGAAACCCUGAUGCAGCGACGCCGCGUGGAGGAAGAAGGUUUUCGGAUUGUAAACUCCUGUCGUUAGGGACGAUAAUGACGGUACCUAACAAGAAAGCACCGGCUAACUACGUGCCAGCAGCCGCGGUAAAACGUAGGGUGCAAGCGUUGUCCGGAAUUACUGGGUGUAAAGGGAGCGCAGGCGGGAAGACAAGUUGGAAGUGAAAACCAUGGGCUCAACCCAUGAAUUGCUUUCAAAACUGUUUUUCUUGAGUAGUGCAGAGGUAGAUGGAAUUCCCGGUGUAGCGGUGGAAUGCGUAGAUAUCGGGAGGAACACCAGUGGCGAAGGCGGUCUACUGGGCACCAACUGACGCUGAGGCUCGAAAGCAUGGGUAGCAAACAGGAUUAGAUACCCUGGUAGUCCACGCCGUAAACGAUGGAUACUAGGUGUAGGAGGUAUCGACCCCUCCUGUGCCGGAGUUAACGCAAUAAGUAUCCCGCCUGGGAAGUACGAUCGCAAGAUUAAAACUCAAAGAAAUUGACGGGGACCCGCACAAGCGGUGGAGUAUGUGGCUUAAUUCGAUGCAACGCGAAGAACCUUACCUGGGCUUGACAUGUAAUGAACAACAUGUGAAAGCAUGCGACUCUUCGGAGGCGUUACACAGGUGCUGCAUGGCCGUCGUCAGCUCGUGUCGUGAGAUGUUUGGUUAAGUCCAGCAACGAGCGCAACCCCUGUUGCCAGUUACCAGCACGUAAAGGUGGGGACUCUGGCGAGACUGCCCAGAUCAACUGGGAGGAAGGUGGGGACGACGUCAGGUCAGUAUGGCCCUUAUGCCCAGGGCUGCACACGUACUACAAUGCCCAGUACAGAGGGGACCGAAGCCGCGAGGCGGAGGAAAUCCUAAAAACUGGGCCCAGUUCGGACUGUAGGCUGCAACCCGCCUACACGAAGCCGGAAUCGCUAGUAAUGGCGCAUCAGCUACGGCGCCGUGAAUACGUUCCCGGGUCUUGUACUCACCGCCCGUCA
rnacentral:rRNA from 1 species